UACGUAGGGUGCAAGCGUUGUCCGGAAUUAUUGGGCGUAAAGAGCUCGUAGGCGGUUUGUUGCGUCGGCUGUGAAAUCCCGAGGCUCAACCCCGGGUCUGCAGUCGAUACGAGCAAACUAGAGUGUUGCAGGGGUGACUGGAAUUCCUGGUGUAGCGGUGAAAUGCGCAGAUAUCAGGAGGAACACCGGUGGCGAAGGCGGGUCUCUGGGCAACAACUGACGCUGAGGAGCGAAAGCGUGGGGAGCGAACAGG
rnacentral:rRNA from 1 species